rnacentral:lncRNA from 10 species
CACAAUCCACAGGAACAUGGAGGAGAGCUAUGCAAAUCAGCCUGAGGUUUUCAGAAUGUGUUCCUAGAUGAGAAAACGUCUCAUGAACUGAGUUCUUUACGACGGGGUUAACAGAUCUUAGGCUUUCAUUCACCAAAAUGCAUAAGAAUCACUUGGACAACUAUUUCUGAGCUGCAAGGUGGCAAUGUCUGAGGCCCCCUCAAAGGAUAAUGUGAGUUCCCCUGAACAAUCUGGGCAACAGAUGUCAACCAGGGAGAAGAUGCUGGCAGUAGGGUUCCCGGGAGUUGAACAUCUGCCUGACCUCCUACUGGGCUCUUCUAAUGCUGCAGCCUAAGGUGGCAGCUGUGGCUGUAGUAGAUGAAAUUCAGAACAUCUGGGGCAUUCUAUGGAGGAGAAAGAAACAAGCUUCUGGAAGCAGCAACAUAGAAGAACAUUAAUUCUCUCCCCACCCAGUCUCACCUACA